CCUACGGGCGGCAGCAGUGAGGAAUAUUGGUCAAUGGACGAGAGUCUGAACCAGCCAAGUAGCGUGAAGGAUGACUGCCCUAUGGGUUGUAAACUUCUUUUAUAUGGGAAUAAAAUGUUCCACGUGUGGGAUUUUGUAUGUACCAUAUGAAUAAGGAUCGGCUAACUCCGUGCCAGCAGCCGCGGUAAUACGGAGGAUCCGAGCGUUAUCCGGAUUUAUUGGGUUUAAAGGGAGCGUAGGUGGAUUGUUAAGUCAGUUGUGAAAGUUUGCGGCUCAACCGUAAAAUUGCAGUUGAAACUGGCAGUCUUGAGUACAGUAGAGGUGGGCGGAAUUCGUGGGGUAGCGGUGAAAUGCUUAGAUAGCACGAAGAACUCCGAUUGCGAAGGCAGUUCACUGGACUGCAACUGACACUGAGGCUCGAAAGUGUGGGUAUCAAACAGGAUUAGAUACCCCGGUAGUC
rnacentral:rRNA from 1 species